CCCAUUCACAUUCCAGCUCCUCCCCUGCGCGUCCACCGACACCUUCCCGGCGUACCCGCCGCCGCCGCCCGUACCGUACACCCCCUCGCACAGGUCGGCGAUCUCGGUGGGCGCCGUGGGGUCCUCCCCGGCGUACCACGCGUUGACGAGCGGGUUCGUGGCGAGCUCGGCCAGCUCGUGCGCGAUGACGCUGACCAUGCCGUCGACGCCCGCGUCGCCGUUGGGCGGCCGCAGCGCCGCCAUGCCGCUCCGGGCCAUGUACGACGACAGCGCGAACGGGUACGCGCAGACGUCGGCGCAGCGGCCGCCGCUGUGCCCGACCCACGCGUAGGGCAGCGUGUGGCCCACGAGCGACGGGAAGGUGAAGUAGUGGAAGCCGCAUACGGCGCGGCAGAAGUCCUGGACGCCGACGCCGGGCGCCGUGAGAACAAGGUAGGCGCCGCCGCGGGUGUCGGCAGGGAGCCGGCCCGCGGCGACCGCAGAGGCGAGCACGCGCUGGAUGUCGAGCCGGGAGAGCGAGCGGCCCAGCGAGGCCGACUCGUCGGCGGCUUCCCCGGCCAGGUCGACGCGGCAGGUGACGUUGGCGAGGGUCUGGUCGGCGUAGAGCGCGGCGGUGGCCCACCAGUCGGCGACGGAGGGGCGCGGCAGGGACGUGUCGGAGAGGGAGAGGAGGAAGUCGCGGACGGGGACCUGGUGCGCGGGGUCCCAUCGGCCGUACCAGAGCACGUAGAGGCGGAGCGGCGCGGCGGAGAGGACGGGGCCCAUGUGGUAGCGGAGGUCCACCAGGUUGGAGCUGCCCUCGUACUUCUUGGACGCGCCCACGAGAGCGUCGGCGCCGCGGCCGUGAGGGUACGGCGUGGCCGCCAUCGCCGUGAGGAGAAGGCCAGGAAGCAGGAAGACGACGAUGAUGGCGGCGGCGAGCGCCAUUUCGAACUGUUUGAGCGCGCGCGUGUUUACCGCGUGUGCGUGGUCGUGCUUGUGUGAUUCAGUGAUUGUGACGGUGAACGCUCAUUCCGACCGUGAGUGAAGUGAGAGCAAGGAGCGGUGGGGUAUUAAAGGGUGGUGGGCGAGUGAGGC
rnacentral:misc_RNA from 1 species